GAUGAACGCUAGCGGCAGGCCUAACACAUGCAAGUCGAGGGGUAGAAUUAGCUUGCUAAUUUGAGACCGGCGCACGGGUGCGUAACGCGUAUGCAAUCUACCUUGUACAGGGGGAUAGCCCAGAGAAAUUUGGAUUAAUACCCCAUGGUAUAAUUAAUUUGCAUGAAUUGAUUAUUAAAGUUCCAACGGUACAAGAUGAGCAUGCGUCCCAUUAGCUAGUUGGUGUGGUAACGGCAUACCAAGGCGACGAUGGGUAGGGGUCCUGAGAGGGAGAUCCCCCACACUGGUACUGAGACACGGACCAGACUCCUACGGGAGGCAGCAGUGAGGAAUAUUGGUCAAUGGUCGGAAGACUGAACCAGCCAUGCCGCGUGCAGGAAGAAGCAUCUAUGGUGUGUAAACUGCUUUUGUACGGGAAGAAACACUCCUACGUGUAGGAGCUUGACGGUACCGUAAGAAUAAGGAUCGGCUAACUCCGUG
rnacentral:rRNA from 2 species